UAGGGAAUCUUCGGCAAUGGACGGAAGUCUGACCGAGCAACGCCGCGUGAGUGAAGAAGGUUUUCGGAUCGUAAAGCUCUGUUGUAAGAGAAGAACGAGUGUGAGAGUGGAAAGUUCACACUGUGACGGUAUCUUACCAGAAAGGGACGGCUAACUACGUGCCAGCAGCCGCGGUAAUACGUAGGUCCCGAGCGUUGUCCGGAUUUAUUGGGCGUAAAGCGAGCGCAGGCGGUUAGAUAAGUCUGAAGUUAAAGGCUGUGGCUCAACCAUAGUUCGCCUUGGAAACUGUCAAACUUGAGUGCAGAAGGGGAGAGUGGAAUUCCAUGUGUAGCGGUGAAAUGCGUAGAUAUGUGGAGGAACACCGGUGGCGAAAGCGGCUCUCUGGUCUGUAACUGACGCUGAGGCUCGAAAGCGUGGGGAGCGAACAGGAUUAGAUACCCUGGUAGUCCGCGCCGUAAACGAUGAGUGCUAGGUGUUGGAUCCUUUCCGGGAUUCAGUGCCGCAGCUAACGCAUUAAGCACUCCGCCUGGGGAGUACGACCGCAAGGUUG
rnacentral:rRNA from 1 species